ACUCUGCUAAAAAGUAAAUAAUACUGAAUUAGUCACUCGUUAGCCAAACUAUAUCAGAGGCAAAUUAGCCCAGGAACUCCAUCUUCUAACCUGUUCCUCAGAAGAAAAAGACAUCUAGGGGUGGGGCAGGGGAGUAGACAGGGUCAGAGAAGAGAAGGCUGGGAAUGGAAAGUCAGGAGAAGACCAGCAGCAUCUGUCAACCUAUUGGAGUUGGAGGUCCAACACUUUGCAUCCACCCUGCCCAUCUCUUGGCGAAGAUCCCACCAGGUUAAGGAGGUCUUAGUGGCAGCAUCAAGAGCCACACCCAGUGGGUGGCCUGGAGGUCACAUAAAGGGUCCAAAUGCAAAUGAACUAAUCAUGUGUGCCUUUCAUUUAGAAAUUAAACGCCAUUAGAAAACUGGACAUGAAAACAACAUCCACUGAUGUUGUCAGAUGGUUAAGGAGCAGGAUUCUACAAUAGAGGAUGAUCCUGAAGCUGAUCCAACAGGAGGAAAAUCCAUCAGAAUCUCAGACUACAGCACUAAAUAUGCUUUGAUGCUACAUCAAAAGGAAUGGAAGCAUAACUGACUUCACUAAAGCUACUUCAUCUCCAUCUAGCAAAUGAGGCACUUUUCUCAACCAAAGGAGAUGGGGAUCUGGUUUAGGGCAAUCCCUUUAUAAUUUGAUGUGCUGUGGUCUCCUCGAUAAUGUAUAAUUUGGUAUUGCACAGAGGUGAUUAAUCAAGGAAGUCUGGAAAAGCUUUGGUCCCACAGCCGUGCCUCAGAGCAUGUAAAUAAUUAAAACAAUAUUGAUGCUGAGGUUCUUCCACUGCUAGUAUGAAAGUGACAAAUUUUUACUGGUGUGAAUUGGGAAGAAAACAGUGCUAUUCCAUGACACGUUUGCAAAAUUUUUGUUUGUUUAGAGAAGCUCAAACACAACAAUUCCAUAAAAUAAACCAGAGGUUAAAUAAAGGGUAGUAAAUUACAGCAUGUAUAAGGAAAAAUGUAUAGGAGAAAAUCAAUUAUCAGGAAAGCUAAAGAACUUUUCAAAUCUAGUAAUUCGAAUAUAGACACAAUGCACCUUAUUACACUUUCAAUUCUCGUAAAGCGACAAUAGUAUUAAGGUCCUUGACUACGUGUAUAGUAUUUUCACAUAUAUUGUUUCAUUUAAUCAUUUCAAAGUUACUCUCUGCCAUCUCCCUAAAUUAUCAGUCUCGGCUCUUCUGAAAUAGAAGGUGCCCGAUCUUCCUAAUAAUUCUGCCUAUUUUCAUUUGCUUUAAACAGGUGCCCUAUUUUCUUUCUGGUUGUGGCUACUGCAAAAACAAAUAUUUAUCUCCCAAAUAAGAUGUACUGCUUACCGAAGUAUCACGGGGUGGGGCUCCAGAGUGGGUUGUUGAAGCUGGGGUUUGGGAAACCACUUCAGAGAUGGCAGCAGCAAGUUUAGCAUCUUCAAAUUU